AUCAAGGCGCCAGCAUCUGGUGUCUGGUGAAGGCUUCUUGCUCUGUCCUCACAAGGCAGAAGGCAGAAGGGCAAACAGGGAUGAACACUGUGUUGUCACAUGGCAGAUGAGCAAAAAGAGAGAGCCUACUCCUGUGAGCCCUUUCUAUAGUGGCAUUAAUCUACUCGUGAUGGUGGGGCCUCAUGACCUAAACACUUCCACUUGGGCCUACUCUCCCCAUUGUUGCCUUCGGGAUUAAGUUUCCAAUACAAGAGUUUUAGAGGGGACAAAAACAAGCCAUAGCAAUCACAGUUGUUUUAAAUUUCCAAUCUGAUAUUUCCAACAUUUUUGCCAUAUCUGAGUCUGGUUCUGAUGCUAACUCUGUUGCAUCAAACUGUGUUUUUCUGCCCUUUCGUGUGCCUUGUAAUUGUACUCUGGUAGCUGAGAAUGAUGUUCUGCAUAAAGGAACUACUGUAAGUAGCCUGUACUGUGGUGGUGAGUGGUGGGGGAGGGGAAGCUUUCUGCACACCUGUGAGCAGGUCUCCGUCUUUCGGUGAGUCUGUGCGUCUGUGAACUUCCCACGUUUCUUAGUCUCCCCUCAUAGACGGGACAGGAUGACUAGAGUGGGCUGAGGUUGGAUAGUUUCCUUGUCCCUUGUGGAAGUCUAGAGGGGGUGGAAAUUGGGUAUUUCACUUCCCUCAAGCCAGCUGGGCUCUGAUAAUACCCCACUAGGUUACGCUCUGGUUCAGUAGUUUCUCUUGAAGGCAGAUCUUCUUAAGAAGAAUAGAAUGCUCUGGAAUAUUUUACAAUAGUUACUUCCUCACCCUAACCCCCAGCCAGAAGCAUGGGAGGGAUUUUUCUACAAUAUUCACUAAGACAACCUGUAGGCGUCCAUGACUGGGUCCUCCUGGCGUUUUUAACUGGAGGGUUUGUGCACACUGAGUCUCUGGCCAUUGGUCAAUUACAAUUCAGGUUUUCCUACCCUAACCCUGGUUUCUGCAGAGGGUUUUGUGGGAAGUUGUUUUCUGUGUCUACCUGUGUGUCUCUCCAAUUAGAAGGACAGCAGUUUGUCUUGUGACCUCCCUCUUACAGAUCAAAGGAAAGUUGUUGGCUUUUCAGUUUGUUCAGCUUUUUCCUUGUUAAGAUGGAGUGGUAACAUCCAAGCUCUUUACAUGACAGACUGGAAACUCAAAGUCCAAAGCACGUUUUAUUGACCUGUGACCAGAUAAAUGCACAAAAUGAGAGAAAGCAUUUGCAGACUUGUAUAGCACUUUGACAUUGUCAUGACACUCAAGUGUACGAUUUUGUAUUUUAUAAAAAUACCUUUCUAAGCAGAUCAGAAAUUACAAACAAAACAUUUGGUCCUUCACUACAGAUAAAAGAAGAAGCAUGGGACCAGGAGGCAGUUCAGAAAGUGGCGAUUAGGAGUGGGAACCAUUUUUGCAGUUGUCUAGAAGGUACCCGAAGAGCCGGAGGCAAAGGUUGAACUGCAUGGUUGCAGAGGCCUGAAAUGCCCUUCACCAGUGGAGUGGAAGAUGUAGGGCACGUGCUAACCAUAUAUCUCUAGACACUCCCAAGGAGAGUUUGUGAUAUUCCUGAUAUGUCUCAUCUCUUACUUGUGUGACAUCCAAACAACUGGUAAAUUACAUUUCAGUUCAACAGUAGUUUGCUGAGUAGCUACUAUGUCUUGAGGUUGUAAAUCCAAUUAAGAAUCGUGCAGAAUAUUACUUGAGCAUCACACAGAUACAUAAGCUUCUCUAAGGUCUUCGUCGUCUCUUCUCGUUGGGUCUUCAGAACAACAACGAGGGGGAUUAUAUUGUCCGCCAUGGCAGAGCCAGGAAACCAGAGGUGCAGAGGUGUCAAAUGACUCAUCCAAAGUCACAGCACUGUUAGCAUUGUCAGCUUUUGGGUCAGAUCUUCUGCUCCCAAGAGUGAUUAAUUUCACUUUCUGUGUCUUCCUCCGUGAGCCACGAUGCUUCUGCUGAGAUUCCUAAUUCAGUGAAACCUGUUUAGGGGAUCAUUUCUGUUAGUCAGACAGCUGCUGAGAAGGCAUUCCCUUUCUGAGCAUGGAUUUUAGAUUAUGGCCAAUCAAGACUCCGAGCUGGAAGAACACCUGUCAGAGACGUUUUUCUACAAGGAGAUGGUCUCUUUAAUCAGAUUUCAUUGUACUUCAGAAAAAGGUUCAUUUUAAAAUCCUCUGCCUGAUCUGAGUCCUCUUGGAGGAGGAGAGAGAGAGAGAAUGCACAGGGGAACGCGGAAGAACUGGAUGGCUUCAGACACAGGUAGUUUCUAAGCCUCCCUGCCGAGCUCCUGGGCGAGGUCGGGGCUGCUGGCCGGUGGCUGGCCUGAUGGCUGUGGCCGUCAUCCACACGGUUUACGUGCAUGUCCUCUCUCUUCUGCUGCUUUGUAAAUGCCUCAGAUGCAGCUUCUACCCUGUUCUCGGGGUCCUACAUAUGCACCAAGCAGGUGCCUAAUAAAUGCUCAUCUGUGGAGAAGACAGGGCAGCCCCAAAGGACAGACUCAGGAGUGGAGACUCAGACAGGUGUGAGUGGCUCAAAAGGGAGAAUAAACAGUAGCUUUGUUUUUUUGGUCUUAACCUAUGUUAAGUCAAAGGAUCUAAUGGGGCUAAAUUUCUUAAUUGCUUACCUGUAAUCAGCGUACAACUGUGAAUUUGUGCACCUGUUAAUAGCUGGAAUUCCAAGAAAAGGGGCCAUAUAGGGACUCUCUGUGGACAAAGCAAGUUGAUUCAUAAUUUUAAUAAUGGGAGCUCACAUUUAUUGAGCAUUUACUAUGUGCUUAUGUAUAUAUUUACAUGUGUAGCACGUAGUAUUUCAUUUAAUUCCUGUAAGGGAGUAGAUUAUCCCUAUUAUUUAUACUUUUCCAGGUGGGGAAACUAAGGCUCAGAGAAUAUGAGCUGUCAUUCAAGUUUAUGGUGUUCGGGAAUGAAAGAGCUAGAACUUGGAUUUGGGCCCGUCUGACGCUAAAGCUUCUGUUGGCCCAGCCACGUCCUACCGUUUUCUCCCUCCACGUUUCAGCACCCCAGAGUCACCGGCUAGAGUCAUGACAUCUCAGAGGACAAAUACAUCGUGGAGGUCAUCUGUCUGGUUCCACUCCACCGGGCAGCGAGGAGAAAGCGUGAGCCUAACAUUCCCAGCCACCGACCAUUUGCAGGCAACACGGCGAGGUGGGUAGUGUCCUCACUUUACAGACAAGGACACUGAAUGUGGCAAAGACAAUUCUAUGUGCUGUGCAGGUCCCAUUUGGGUUUCUUCUUUGGCACGCAGGAAGACUGUACUUCCCUGUGCCAUCACGGUUGGCUUGAGACCACGCGACUAGUUCUGGCCAGCGGUGGAUGCAAUGGAGUGCACCGCUUCCAGACUGAGUUGGAAGAGUGGGUGUGAGUGCUCCGCACUCUCUCUCCCUCAUGUGUUGAGCUGGCAUUGCCACUAAAGACAAGCAACCCAGACUGCUAAGUCAUCCCAUGGAGGACAGCCACCCUGGAGAGUCACCCAAUCCACAGAGGACUUCAUGAGACAAAACUUCUCAUCCUGAGACACUAGAUCUUUGAUGAUGGCAAUAAGGAAACAUCCACGCCCCUGGUUAAAAGAGCCAAGACUGCAAGCACUGCUGGCUGCCUAGAAGGGGCUGUGCUUAUUUUCGGAGAAGCACAAGGCUGGGGUCGCUGCAGUUACCCCAAGGAAGGUCCGAGGCUGCUGAACAGAGAGACUUGGGACAGACAGCAGUGGGACCCUCGAAGGUGAAACCUCAGCAGCAGAUGAGGUAUUGCUGAAUGGUUCCUGAUUAUGGACUCCUCUUCCUCUCUCUCCAUUUACAUUCCAAGCUGUUACCCUGAAUAAAUCAUACCAUGUCUAAUUAAUGUACUACUCAACUUUGAUUUGUUCCGAAAGGGGAAAAAUAUGUUGAUACCCCUGCCAGCAGGAUAGGAACUAUGCCUAGAGCGGAAUAUCCAUCAUGAUAACAUGAAUCUCACCAUUCCCAAAGUGAGUGAUUAUUAUAUAGGCAGCCUAUCUUCAUGGCUUGGUAUUUAUCCUUCAUGAGUUUCCAGGUGACAAUGUAUUUGCGGAAGAACUCUCAGAAACCAUCCUUAAGAUUAUUGUCAAAUUCCUUAAUAAAGAUUCGGAAGCCAAACACGCUGGGCUAAAUGCAAAAAGACAACCGGUAGGCAACAGUCCGAUCGCCCCCUCCUGAAGUCUUAACUGCUGGCAGUGCUAAUGUGUGACACCCUGGAGUAGCUGCUGUCUGUCCCCUCUCUCCCCUUCUGAGGGCAGCCCCCACACCGCAGUCUUGUCCUACCCUGAGGCUGUCUUGUGUAUCUCCUCAUGUACAAGGGUUUUGCACACACUCGUGCCCUCUGAUGAGAUGAUACUAGUAAUGAUAACCACAAUGGGAUGUCACAACCAUUAAGGCACGCUCUUUAAAUAAUCUCAUUUUGUUCCGACAACAAUUAGAAAUGGGAAGAACCAUCCCAUUUUACACAUAUUGAAACAAGGGCUUGGAUAGGUCAAGUCCCUUGUCCGAGGUCACACGGCUACCAAGUGGCAAGGUGGGGACUUGAACCUAGUUCUAUCUGCCUCCAACUCAAAGCCCUUAAACUCCGUGCUCAUGGUCCCAGUACGGAGAUACUGGCUUCCCUGAGGGAACUAUCGGAGGCUGGAAAAUAUGGGCCUGAGAGAACUUUUAAAUAUGAAAUGAUAACUCUUUGCCUACUGAGAUUCUUAUCUUUAAAAACCCAGAGGAAGACCAUAUUUAUAUAUUUAUUCAACAUUCAUGUACAAUAUUUACAUUUACAAAAUGCUUUUAGAGUGUAACAGAAUGGGCAGAAAUUUUUAUUUGGGCAUAUAAUUGUCUUUUCUUUCAUAUUCAUUUAUUCCUUUGAUUUAUGUAAUAUGUUCUCCACUUGGUCUUCUGAGAUUAUGUACAAUGGUAACAAAUCAAAAAUAAUAUUAAUAAAAGAUUAUUUUGUAUCACUCACAGGGAAAACUGACUAGGGCCAUACAUGUCUCUGUUUGUAAAUGAUUAUACCAGAGAACAUAAUGUGGUCCCCAGAAUACUGUCUGUAGUACUUACUAUGAUGCUUAAAAAUAUGUUUAGCUCCUAUUUCUCA